UGGGGGAUAUUGCACAAUGGGCGAAAGCCUGAUGCAGCGACGCCGCGUGGGGGAUGAAGGCCUUCGGGUUGUAAACUUCUUUUGCUCUGAACAAGGCAUGCUAAUGGGUGUGGUGAGUGUAGGGGUUGAUUAGCGCCGGCUAACUACGUGCCAGCAGCCGCGGUAAUACGUAGGGCGCGAGCGUUGUCCGGAAUUAUUGGGCGUAAAGGGCUUGUAGGUGGCUGGUUGCGUCUGUCGUGAAAGCUCAUGGCUUAACUGUGGGUUUGCGGUGGGUACGGGCUGGCUUGAGUGCAGUAGGGGAGGCUGGAAUUCCUGGUGUAGCGGAGGAAUGCGCAGAUAUCAGGAGGAAUACCGGUGGCGAAGGCGGGUCUCUGGGCUGUUACUGACACUGAGGAGCGAAAGCAUGGGGAGCGAACAGG
rnacentral:rRNA from 1 species